rnacentral:tRNA from 1 species
ACUUUUCUAGUAUAAUCAAUACAAGUGACUUCCAAUCACUAAAUUUUAGCUUAACCCUAAAGAAAAGUA